UACGUAGGGUGCAAGCGUUGUCCGGAAUUAUUGGGCGUAAAGAGCUCGUAGGCGGUCUGUCGCGUCUGCUGUGAAAACUCGGGGCUUAACCCCGGGCCUGCAUUCGAUACGGGCAGGCUAGAGUGUGGUAGGGGAGAUCGGAAUUCCUGGUGUAGCGGUGAAAUGCGCAGAUAUCAGGAGGAACACCGGUGGCGAAGGCGGAUCUCUGGGCCAUUACUGACGCUGAGGAGCGAAAGCGUGGGGAGCGAACAGG
rnacentral:rRNA from 1 species